AAGAUGAGGAGCACUUUAAUUUCUCACAUCCUAAUUUUCAAAUCAUACCUUCUGAAGGAGAAAUUUGGCCCAAAUCGUCGAUAGAGUUAACAGCACUUUUUUUUCCUGACAAGAAACAUUUGUUUAAAACUGUUGCGUUUUGUGACGUGCUGGGAUUAGACACUAGGUUGCCUCUAAUGCUUGAAGGUAAUGGACUAGGUCCUAAUAUUGUCCUCUGUGCUGAAUCGUUAAACGUCAAUCGCAUUUAUAUGCGGCGUAUCCACGAAUACGAUAUCACAUUCACUAAUCUCGGGUUUAUAAACGGCACCGUCACUUGGAUACCACAUAUUACUAAUUUUGGGGGUAGGAUUUGCUGCCAUCCUAACCGAAUUGAAUUAAAGCAUAAACAGGUUAAGAUGAUAAUAAUGCAGUUUAGUAGCGACGAGGAGGGAAAGUUUGUUGAAGAAGUUAUGUUUAAAAUUGAAGAAUCGGGAGAUAUUUUAACAGUGGC